ACACAUUAUUCCAAUCUUAUAUUGAUGCUCAUUCAGUUAACAUAUUUGUAUGUAUCCGUUUUCAACUCUCAAAGACUGUGGUGGAGAAUCCAACAAUGCAGACCAUGGAUAUUGAUGAGGACACGUAUCCCAACAAGCCCAGUUUGACAUUUUCAGGUAUCAAUUCAAGUACAAGCACACAGCUUUUGUUCCUUACAAUCCUCGAUAAUAUAAGUAUUUUAACAUUACCAGAGAGAGUUCAAAAGAUCCUACAUGAUAUUUCCCUGUGAUUCAGCGUUUUCAGUGGUGGAAGAGACCCUCUGGAGUUGCUGCAGUGUGUCUGGGCUGCUGUGUGUUCUUCUAUUGGCUGGUAUCAUAGGCCUGUCUCUCUAUUAUGGAGUCAUUGAUCAUCACUGCUCAACAGAAGAGACCAACAGACCAGUUACAGCCUUCAGAUUAAAGAAGGAGAUCAGCAACCAACCAGUUACAACACCUUGACUAAAGAGAGAGACCAGCUACAGACCAGUUACUACACCCUGACUGAAGAGAGAGACCAGCUACAGACCAGU